CUGAGCAUGCCUGGGGAAUGACAGGCAUCUGCACAGGCCCACGGCAUCACCUUGGCCAGGGUGUCGUCAUUGGCUGCUUAUUAGAAAAACUACAGGACAAUGCAUACCACUGACUGCCGGCUGUAAACAUAGGGGAUAUGUGUUCACUUAGCAUGGACUUCUGGGAGGGGCCAAGGAAGGGCGGUCUGCAGUUUUAUUGAAUAGAGCAGUGUGCAUUCGGCUGCCUGCCUGCCUGCUUGCUCUCUUGCUGUGCUCCUGCUUAAAGGGAUCAGCCCUUCCUUUCCCACGGAGUCCUGGGGAAGAGAUUUCAGCCGAGGAGGUAUCAAGAAAACAUUUCAACACCAUCCCGCUGAAUUCCAUAAGGCUUGGUGAUUAACCAGCAGGCUCAGAAGUGGAAGUGGACCUCUGACUGCCAACCUAUCCAGACACCAUCUGGUCUCCCUAAGACUGAACCCACACCAUGGAUGAUUUUGAACGUCGCAGAGAACUCAGGAGGCAAAAGAGGGAGGAGAUGCGGCUGGAAGCAGAAAGAAUUGCCUAUCAGAGGAACGACGAUGACGAAGAAGAGGCAGCGCGGGAACGUCGCCGGCGAGCGAGACAGGAAAGGCUGCGGCAGAAGCAAGAGGAAGAAUCCUUGGGACAGGUGACCGACCAGGUGGAGGUUCACACCCCGAACAGUGUCCCGGACGAGGAGUCCAAGCCAACCGCCACCAACACUCAGGUGGAGGGCGAUGAUGAGGCUGCCCUCCUGGAGCGUCUGGCCCGGAGAGAAGAGAGACGCCAGAAACGUCUUCAGGAAGCCCUGGAGCGGCAGAAGGAGUUCGACCCAACCAUCGCAGAUGCCAGCCUGUCCCUCCCCAGCGGAAGAAUGCAAAAUGACACAGCUGAAAACGAGACUGCGGAGAAGGAAGGGAAAAGAGAAAGUCGCCAAGAGAGAUACGAGAUAGAGGAGACGGAAAUAGUCACCAAGUCCUACCAGAAGAAUGACUGGAGGGAUGCCGAGGACAAGAAGAAAGACGAAAAGGAAAAGGAGGAGGAGGAGGAGGAAGAGAAGCCAAAGCAAGGGAGCGGUGGAGAAAAUCAGGUAGAGGCGAGGGUGGCAGAGAGCACAGCAGAAACCCAGGAGGAGACAGUGGUACCGGCCCUGAAAAACGGGGACCUGGAUGCAGAAGAGUCUCAAGUGGAGGAGAGGGAAGGAGGCUCAGAGGAGGCUUCUCAUAAUGAAAAGAUGGAAGGGGAAGAAAGGCAAAGAGCCGAGGCAGAGAGGCUGAGGGUGGAAGCAGAAGAAAGAGAAAGAAUUAAAGCCGAGCAAGAAAGACAGAGAGCGGAGGAGCAAGCAAGAAUAGCAGCAGAAGAAAGAGAGAGGAGGGAGGCGGAGGAGAGGGAGAGGGUAAAGGAGGAGGAGAGAAGGGCGGCCGAGGAGAGAAGGGUGGCCGAGGAGAGAAGGGCGGCCGAGGAGAGGCAGAGGGCCCAGGCAGAGGAGGAGGCGAAGGCUAGGAUAGAAGAGCAAAAGCGAAAAAAGCAGCUAGAGGAGAAGAGGAAUGAAAUGCAAGAGACAAAGAUGAGAGGGGAGAAAGCAGAAGAGAAAAGAGAAGGGAAGAGGGUCAAUGAAAAGAAAGUGUCCGAAGAUAAACCUCAGACAGCUGUCCUAAAGAAACAGGAAGAAGAAAAGGGAACAAAAGGGCAAGCUCAAAGGCAAAAGUCCCAAGAAGACAAGCCUACCUUCAAAAAAGGAGAGAUCAAAGAUGAGAAGAUUAAAAAAGACAAAGAGCCCAAAGAAGAAGUUAAGAGUUUCUUGGAUCGAAAGAAGGGAUUUACAGAAGUGAAGUCACAGAAUGGAGAAUUCAUGACCCACAAACUUAAACAUACUGAGAAUGCUUUCAGCCCCAGCCGCCCCGGAGCGCGGGCCGUCGGGGAAGCCGAGGGCGCUCCGCAGGUGGAAGCCGGCAAGAGGCUGGAGGAGCUCCGCCGCAGGCGCGGGGAGACCGAGAGCGAAGAGUUCGAAAAGCUCAAACAGAAGCAACAGGAGGCGGCCUUGGAGCUGGAGGAGCUGAAGAAAAAGAGAGAGGAGCGAAGGAAGGUCCUGGAGGAGGAAGAGCAGAAGAGGAAGCAGGAGGAAGCGGACCGCAAGGCCAGAGAGGAGGAAGAGAAGAGGAGGCUAAAGGAGGAGAUUGAGAGGCGAAGGGCAGAAGCUGCUGAGAAACGCCAGAAGAUGCCCGAAGAUGGCUUGUCGGACGACAAGAAGCCCUUCAAGUGCUUCACUCCUAAAGGCUCAUCUCUCAAGAUAGAAGAACGAGCAGAAUUUUUGAAUAAGUCUGUGCAGAAAAGCAGUGGUGUCAAAACAACUCAUCAAGCUGCAGUAGUCUCCAAGAUAGACAGCAGACUGGAGCAAUACACAAGUGCAAUUGAGGGAACAAAAACUGCAAAACCUAUCAAGCCAGCAGCCUCUGAUCUUCCUGUUCCUGCUGAAGGGGUACGCAAUAUCAAGAGCAUGUGGGAGAAAGGGAAUGUGUUCUCCUCCCCGACUGCAUCAGGCACACCAAAUAAGGAAACUGCUGGCCUGAAGGUGGGAGUCUCCAGCCGCAUCAAUGAAUGGCUAACUAAAACCCCGGAUGGGAAUAAGUCACCUGCUCCCAAACCUUCUUGUCUUUCUCAGCUGGCUUCUCUUCUUCCCUCUUUGGUCUGGUUGAUUGGAAACCUGCCUCUCCUGCCUUCAUUUCUCCCUCUUCUUCCGGAGUGGGUCUUUCUCUAAAAUGUAGUCUGGUCAGGACUUGAGGCCAGGAGACGUAACUGGCAAACGGAACCUCUGGGAAAAGCAAUCUGUGGAUAAGGUCACUUCCCCCACUAAGCAGGUUUGAGACAGUUCGAGAAAGAACCCAAGAGCUCAAGACGCCGGACCACCUCAGUUGUAGAGGGCUACUUGCUCUGUUUUAUAUUUAUGUCAAUUUACAAAAUUGGGUUCAUUUUCUUUUGUUUUUCAAUAUCCCAGUAAACCAAUGUAUAUGAUCACUAUAUUUAAUAAUCACAUCUAGAGAUGUUCAUGGUAAAAGUACCGCCUUUGCACAGGAGCCUGUUUCUAAAGAAACCCAUGCUGUGAAAUAGACUUUCCUACUGCUCGUGUCUGAACAGCGAUACCAACCACAUUGGAGUCACCAACAGGAGGUUAAGGUUGCCUGAGGAAUGUGUGCAGUAUCUAGGAAAAGGAACCAUAUUUGUUGUUGUUGUUAAUACAGAGGUCAUGUUGUUUCUGCACUUUAGAAUAAAGCAUGGAAGAAAUUAUCUACAUAGGCCAUGGUAACUGUUUCUGAAAGUAACCCGUUUUGGAUUUAAAAUUCUGCAAUAAUGAUGUCUUUUUUAAAAAAGAAGAUGUACUGUUAAGGUAUUACUUUUUUUCGUGCUGAUUCAUAUCUAAAUUGGAUUAUUAUUUUAGCUGACAGUGGUACUGAUUUUUUUUAGGUUGGUUGCUUUUGUGGAUUUCUUUGAUAGUGUAGUAGCCUGACCCACAUUUUAGAUUACCUGAUUAUGUAUGUAUGUAUGUAUAUGCAUACACGUAUACAAACACACUAACAGUAGAGUGCUUUUCAUGUGCUAGACUAUUAUUUUUAGUAGUAUGUCUUUGUAACUAGCCAAUAUCACAGCUCUUUAAAAAUUAAAAAAACACAAUAUUAUAUUAAUAUUUCAUAUUUGCCAACAGAAACAUGGCAGGUAGGUAUGGAAAUGUUUUCAAUGCCCGAUGACUUAUAAAAAAGAAAGUAUUGAAAAGAAAGAUUAGAAGUGUCAAAAGGAGUUGAAAUUUUCUAUAAUACAUAGUAUUUAGUCUAUAAUUCAAGACAAUUUUUGAAGCCCAGUGUGAAUUUUACAAAAUCUACUGUCUGAAUCAAAUUCAGCCUGUAAUAUUAAAGUUCAUGGUAAGUUGGCCAACAUGAUAGCUAAGGUCUCUUCCUUGGCUAAGAUUUAAAGACAAGAAUUUCAAUGACAAUACUGCACAGAUUGGAAUUCCAGACAGAGAUAUAAACAAAGACCAACUUUGGCUCAUGUCUGGAAGGGAAGCAGAGAAAUAAAGUGAGUAAAAUCUAGCAUUUAGGAGUGACACCUUCAUAUACUAGUACCUCCACCUUCAUAUACUUUGAACUAUUUUUCAAGUUAAACUUUUCUACUUUGUUGGUCAUUGGUACUUGUCAUAAGUUGAUAAUGUUCUAAAAUUUCAAAAAUAUAUGUGAAUUUUACUAGUAUGAUUUUUUUCCCCUGAGUCCUUAUUGACUUACCAUUUUUACACACACAAUACAGAUAUCUGAUCUUAUUUUAGCAUGUAAGUCUUUACUCUUCAUAAUAGAUGAUGGAAGAUACACCGGUAUCUUGGCAAAAUGUCCUAGUAUAGACAUAUACAUACAGCUUCACCAGGUUAAUUUCAUACCUCAGUUGACUUAGCCAAAAUUGUCUUAGGCUCCAUUCCUGCCAUACUGAUAGAGCAUCCCAAAUAACUAUGUUAUAAGCCACUUCUCCAGAAAGGCUAGCCAGGGAGGGCUGGCUUGUGGAGUAAGCACUGCCUUCCAAAGCCUGUCUUCCUCCUAAAUCAGGAAAGGUUAGUUGGAUUCCCUAGUUUUUAGCAAACCUGGACCAAAGGAAGGAAAGCCACCAAUAUUGCACAAGCCAUCCACCCAUGACAGAGUAGACACAAGUCUACGAUAAAAUGAACUAGAAUUCCCGUGAGACUCCCCUGUAGAGGAUUCCCAUCAUUGGAGUGAAAUGGUUCAACAUCUAAAUUAAGGCCAGUGGUGAGGGAACAUUGUUUUGCUGAACUUUUGAACAAGAGCUUCUCCUGAUCACUAUUCUAUGUAUUUUCUAGAAAAUCUAAAGUUGAGAAAAGAAUGUACUGAUCCUGACUUUUAUUCCAAUGUUUGGAAGGAAUAAGUUUUAAGGUAGAAUUUUUGUUCAGUUUAAAUUUAAUCUUUGGUAAAACAAAAUUUCUCGUUGACUUGUUUAAUUACAGUUCUCUGUUAUCUUUAAGAGAUAAAACUGCAAGCUGACUAGCAUGUUCUGUGAAUCUGCCAUUCUUUAAAAUGUUAUAAACACUUGAUAUUUUUCACUGAUAAUUGAUCGCUGCAAUAAAAAUAUAUUGUGAAAAUGCAUCCACAAUAAAUGGAAUUCCUCCAAAUGUUUUUGCCUCACAUAAUUCUAUAUAUUAUUUUGAUUGCAAGAGGUGUGCCUGUUAAAAUAAAGAUGAUGGCGUGGCAAA